rnacentral:misc_RNA from 1 species
AACGCACCUUGCGCUCCAUGGUAUUCCGUGGAGCAUGCCUGUUUGAGUGUCAUGAAUUCUUCAACCCACCUCUUUCUUAGUGAAUCAGGCGGUGUUUGGAUUCUGAGCGCUGCUGGCUUCGCGGCCUAGCUCGCUCGUAAUGCAUUAGCAUCCGCAAUCGAACUUCGGAUUGACUCGGCGUAAUAGACUAUUCGCUGAGGAUUCUGGUCUCUGACUGGAGCCGGGUAAGGUUAAAGGGAGCUACUAAUCCUCAUGUCUAUCUUGAGAUUAGACCUCAAAUCAGGUAGGACUACCCGCUGAACUUAA